AAUGAACGCUGGCGGCAGGCCUAACACAUGCAAGUCGAGCGGAUGAAGGGAGCUUUCGCCUGUCUUCCGCGGCGGACGGGCGAGUAAUUCCCACGUAUCUGCCUUGCCUUUGGGACUAACGUCAGUACACGGACCCGGAGCCCAUAUCCGUCCAGAUGUUGAACCGGGGGGUUCUUUGGUCCACGCGCUUUCUGAUGACCCUAAUUCGGGGAACUACGCCGGAUUAGCUAGUUGGUAGGGUAACGGCUUACCAAGGCUACGAUGCGUAGCUGAUCUGAGAGGAUGAUCAGUCACACUGGAACUGAGACACGGUCCAGACUCCUACGGGAGGCAGCAGUGGGGAAUAUUGGACAAUGGGCGAAAGCCUGAUGCAGCCACGCCGCGUGUGUGAAGAAGGUCUUCGGAUCGUAAAGCACUUUAAGUUGGGAGGAAGGGCUGUAAGUGAAACCCUUGCUGUUUUGACGUUACCAACAGAAUAAGCACCGGCUAACUUCGUG
rnacentral:rRNA from 1 species